AAGAACGCAGCGAAUUGCGAUACGUGGUGCGAAUUGCAGAAUCCCGUGAACCAUCGAGUUUUUGAACGCAAGUUGCGCCUGAGGCCAGCUGGCCGAGGGCACGUCCGCCUGGGCGUCAAGC
rnacentral:rRNA from 1 species